rnacentral:rRNA from 1 species
UACGUAGGGUGCGAGCGUUGUCCGGAAUUAUUGGGCGUAAAGAGCUCGUAGGCGGUUUGUCGCGUCGGCCGUGAAAACCUGCAGCUUAACUGUGGGCUUGCGGUCGAUACGGGCAUCACUGGAGUUCGGCAGGGGAGACUGGAAUUCCUGGUGUAGCGGUGAAAUGCGCAGAUAUCAGGAGGGAACCACCGAUGGCGAAGGCAGCCCCCUGGGCUAACACUGACGCUGA